UACGUAGGUGACAAGCGUUGUCCGGAUUUACUGGGCGUAAAGAGCGCGCAGGCGGUCGUUCAAGUCGGAGUGUGAAAGCCCCGGCUCAACUGGGGAGGGUCAUUCGAUACUGAUCGACUCGAAGGCAGGAGAGGGAAGUGGAAUUCCCGGUGUAGUGGUGAAAUGCGUAGAUAUCGGGAGGAACACCAGUGGCGAAGGCGACUUCCUGGCCUGUUCUUGACGCUGAGGCGCGGAAAGCGUGGGGAGCGAACGAGGA
rnacentral:rRNA from 1 species